rnacentral:rRNA from 1 species
AGAGUUUGAUCCUGGCUCAGAAUCAACGCUGGCGGCGUGCCUCAGACAUGCAAGUCGAACGCGAAAGUUCCCUUCGGGGAGCGAGUAGAGUGGCGCACGGGUGAGUAACACGUAGGUAAUCUACCUUUGGAUGGGGAAUAACAACCGGAAACGGUUGCUAAUACCGCAUAAUGCAGCGGCACCUAAUGGUGACAGUUGUUAAAGCGGGGGAUCGAAAGACCUCGCGUCUAAAGAGGAGCCUGCGGCAGAUUAGCUAGUUGGUAAGGUAACGGCUUACCAAGGCGAUGAUCUGUAACCGGCCUGAGAGGGCGGUCGGUCACACUGACACUGACAUACGGGUCAGACUCCUACGGGAGGCAGCAGUCGGGAAUUUUGGGCAAUGGGCGAAAGCCUGACCCAGCAACGCCGCGUGAAGGAUGAAAUCCCUCGGGAUGUAAACUUCGCAAGAACAGGAAGAAUAAGUCGGUGUUAACAUCACCGAUGAUGACGGUACUGUUUGUAAGCUCCGGCUAACUCCGUGCCAGCCGCCGCGGUAAUAC